UGAGGAAUAUUGGGCAAUGCCCGCAAGGGUGACCCAGCAACGCCGCGUGGAGGAUGAAUGUCGUAAGAUUGUAAACUCCUGUUAGAGGGGAAGAAUAGUACCGGUUGGACCGGUAUAUGACUGUACCCUCAGAGAAAGCCCCGGCUAACUACGUGCCAGCAGCCGCGGUAAUACGUAGGGGGCAAGCGUUGUCCGGAUUUACUGGGUGUAAAGGGCGCGCAGGCGGGAUAAAAAGUCAGUGGUGAAAUCCUACAGCUUAACUGUAGAACUGCCUUUGAUACUUUUAUUCUUGAGUUCGGGAGAGAGAGACGGAAUUCCAGGUGUAGUGGUGAAAUACGUAGAUAUCUGGAAGAACACCAGUUGCGAAGGCGGUCUCUUGGUCCGACACUGACGCUGAGGCGCGAAAGCGUGGGGAGCAAGCA
rnacentral:rRNA from 1 species